rnacentral:rRNA from 1 species
AAGCGGAGGAACUAUGUGGUUUAAUUCGAUGAUACGCGAGGAACCUUACCUGGGCUUAAAUGUAGAGUGCAUGAUGUGGAAACAUGUCUUCCUUCGGGGCUCUCUGCAAGGUGCUGCAUGGUUGUCGUCAGCUCGUGCCGUGAGGUGUCGGGUUAAGUCCCAUAACGAGCGCAACCCUUAUCGUUAGUUGCCAGCGGGUAAUGCCGGGAACUCUAACGAAACUGCCGGUGUAAACCGAGAGGAAGGUGGGGAUGACGUCAAAUCAGCACGGCCCUUAUGUCCAGGGCUACACACGUGUUACAAUGGCCGGUACAGAGGGCAGCUACCUGGAGACAGGAUGCGAAUCUCGAAAGCCGGUCUCAGUUCGGAUCGGAGUCUGCAACUCGACUCCGUGAAGCUGGAUUCGCUAGUAAUCGCGCAUCAGCCAUGGCGCGGUGAAUACGUUCCCGGGCCUU